AACGAACGCUGGCGGCAUGCUUUACACAUGCAAGUCGAACGGUAACAGGCCGCAAGGUGCUGACGAGUGGCGAACGGGUGAGUAAUGCAUCGGAACGUGCCCAGUCGUGGGGGAUAACGCAGCGAAAGCUGCGCUAAUACCGCAUACGAUCUAUGGAUGAAAGCGGGGGACCGUAAGGCCUCGCGCGAUUGGAGCGGCCGAUGUCAGAUUAGGUAGUUGGGGGGGUAAAGGCUCACCAAGCCGACGAUCUGUAGCUGGUCUGAGAGGACGACCAGCCACACUGGGACGGGGACACGGCCCAGACUCCUACGGGAGGCAGCAGUGGGGAAUUUUGGACAAUGGGCGCAAGCCUGAUCCAGCAAUGCCGCGUGCAGGAAGAAGGCCUUCGGGUUGUAAACUGCUUUUGUACGGAACGAAACGGUCCGGGUUAAUACCCUGGGCUAAUGACGGUACCGUAAGAAUAAGCACCGGCUAACUACGUGCCAGCCGCCGCCGUAACAC
rnacentral:rRNA from 1 species